AGCCUCCUAAAAACAGAAUCCGCGUGACCUAAAAAGGAGGGCGUGGCUUGACCCUCAGUGGGCGUGGCUUGACCUGUGACUCCCCCAAGGGCGGGAAACCCCCACAACCUCCCCCUCUCCUUACGUCACUUCCGGCCGCGCCCCCUCCAGGCCCAACCGCCCCGGCCCGUUGUUUCCAUGGAGACGCCGCUCUCCCCCGUCGGUUCCCCGGGGACUCGGGCGCUUUUCCUACCGGCUCGGGGCUCCCGGUGCUCCGGACCGGGACCGGAAUCGGGACCGGAAUCGGGACCGGGACCCGCUCCCGCCGCCGCCGCCGCUGCCCCUUUAAACCGCUGAGGGCACCCGGAAGCGCCGCUCCGCGCAUGCGCCCCGUCGAGGGCGUGAAUUCCCGGCGCUGCCAUUGGCCGGCCGGGAAGGCCGAGCUUGCGCUGAUUGGCUGGGAGCGGGGAAGGGGCGGAGCCGAGCGGCGUGAGGGGAGGGAAGAUGGCGGCGCUGGCGCCGGAGCUGCUGGUGCAGCUGGAGCCGGGGCGGUUCCGGGCCGACAAUCUGCUGGGCGCCGAGGACUGGGAUGACGCCCUCUACAGUUGCCUUGACGACCGCCUGGACCCCGCCCAGCUCUUCCCUUCCCUGGACCCUGACCCCAUGUUGGAUUGUGCCUUCGAUGGGGGGGGCAGCGCCAGCCCCCCCGACCCCCCCUGGAGCCAGGAGCCCCCCCAGAGCGGCCCGGGUGAGUCCGGGGGGGAUUUGGGGGGUCCUGGGGGGGUCUGGGAGGGAAUUUGGGGGGUCCUGGAGGGAUUUGG
rnacentral:lncRNA from 1 species